rnacentral:rRNA from 1 species
GUCCACGCCGUAAACGGUGGGUGCUAGCUGUGGGCCACAUUCCACGUGGUCCGUGACGAAGUUAACACAUUAAGCACCCCGCCUGGGGAGUACGGCCGCAAGGCUAAAACUCAAAGGAAUUGACGGGGGCCCGCACAAGCGGCGGAGCAUGCGGAUUAAUUCGAUGCAACGCGAAGAACCUUACCAAGGCUUGACAUAUAGAGGAAAAGUGCAGAAAUGUACUCCCCGCAAGGUCUCUAUACAGGUGGUGCAUGGUUGUCGU